UACGUAGGGUCCGAGCGUUGUCCGGAAUUAUUGGGCGUAAAGAGCUCGUAGGCGGUCUGUUGCGUCGGUUGUGAAAACCUGGGGCUCAACUCCAGGCCUGCAAUCGAUACGGGCAGACUAGAGUUCGGUAGGGGAGACUGGAAUUCCUGGUGUAGCGGUGAAAUGCGCAGAUAUCAGGAGGAACACCGGUGGCGAAGGCGGGUCUCUGGGCCGAAACUGACGCUGAGGAGCGAAAGCGUGGGGAGCAAACAGG
rnacentral:rRNA from 1 species